GAGAUGUGUUAAAAUUUCCAGUUGUGAUAGUGGAUUUGUCCAUUUUUCCAUUUACUUCUGUCAGUUUUAGGUGUUAAUAUACUGUACCCAAUUCCAAUGUGUGGGUUUCCCCCCACACAUAUUCAAGCAAGUCUCCUACACAAGCUGGGUGUCUUAUAAGGUAACUCAAUUCUGACACCAUCUGCCUGGAGAUGGCAUCAGAUUCCACAGGUUAAGGGCUCAUUCCCACAAGGCUGCCCUGUACUUUAGAUGCUAAUCUCGAGUCCAAGUUGUUACCUGUGCUUCUGACACUCUGGCUAUAAGUCAGAGGUUCCCACAACCCCUUCCUUGGGUUCGAUUAAUUAGCUAGAGUGGCUUACAGAACUCGGGAAACUUGUUUAUUCACUACAUCACUGGUUUAUUACAAAGGAUAUUAAAGAAUAGGAAUUGACAGCCAGAUGAAGGGAUACAUGGGGUGAGGCCCCAAACGCAGAAGCUUCUGUCCCCGUGAGGUUUGGGGCACGACACAGUGGCACAUGGAGGCAUUCCGGUUUACCAACCUGGAAUCUCUGAACCCGGUCCUUUGGGGUGUUUCAUGGAGGCUUAAUUACAUGGUCAGGAUUAAAUUAUUGGCCAUCGGUGAUUGGACUCAGUCUCCAGCCCCUUGCCUUCCCUAGAGGUCAAGGAAGUAGGACUGAAAGUUCUAACCCUCUAAUCUCAUGGUGGGUUCUUCUGGCAACCAACCCCCAACCUUAGGUGUUUUCCAAAAGUCAUCUCACUAACAUAAAAAAGACAGAUUUAUCAUUUUCAACAUAGAAUAUUCCAAGAAUUUUCGGAGCUUUGUAGCAGGAGGGGCAAAAAGGCCAAUUAAGAUGGGUAUAGUAGCAUACUCAAUUAAGAUGGGUAUACUAGAUUUCUGUUGGUUAAUGUUUAAAUUGCCAUUUCCCCUAAUUUUCUGUAUCAAUAAACUUUACAUGUGUCUCUUUUAAGGUGCAUUUGAUGGAAUUUUUAUCUAGCCUGAUGUUUGCCUUUCGAUUUGGAAUAUUUCAUCUGCUUACAUGUAAUGGCAUUAACAUACAUAAUUUGGCUUAAACAUGUCAUCCUAAUAUUUGCUUUAUAUUUAUUUUUACCUGCUCUAAUUUCCUUUUCCUUUCCUUUCUUUUGAGAUAAUCAAUAAGGCCUAGGUUUGGUUUUCCUCAUACCCCUGUAGGCUUGACAAACACAGAGCUUCGUGAAUCUGUGACUUGAUGUCUUUGGUCACUUUUUAAACUUCCCAACUAUCAUUUAUUUAAAUAUAUCUUCUGUACUGUUGCCUUUCCUUUUUAUCUGGGACCAAUUGAACAUACGUUGUUAUUAUUUUCUACGACACCUUCAACUCUUGUCCUUUCUCUUUCAGGAUCCUCCAUCAUUUUGUCUCACCAGGCUUAAUGCUGGGUAUUUCUUCAGACUAAUUGUUUGUUUAUAGAAUUCUCCAUCCAGAGUACAUUGAUAGACAUCAUUCCUUUCAAAGAGGACCUAGAUACCUGGGUGUUUCCCAAGGAAGUAUGAAAGCUGAUAUAAACAUGGCAUUUCUGGCAUUCAUCUUCAUGAAUCCAUGAACAAGAGGGAGAAGCAGCAAUGGAUGAUACUUAUGUACAACCCCAAAUAAGAUAGUGUUAAAAAUAAAUUCAAGAGUUAUCUGCCUCGGUCACCUAAGGGUAGGUUCAGAGAAAUGAUGUAAAGGGAUAAGAGUAGAGGAUGGCUAAAAGCAAAGGUGAAAACUGCACCCAAGGCGAUGGAGCAACUUUCCACUGGAUGUCUCAGCUUGGCUCAAGAUGAGUGUGGGAGAUGGAGGUCGAGUCUCUGGAGACUUUAUCUGAGGGGCAAGCAGGAUCUUCAUGAGUCAUUCUUCUGUACCCUACUCUGUGUGGUUUGAGUUGGAGCCAGAAGAAAUGGAACAUCUAAAGCUGACCAUGAACAAACACUAUGAUGUCUCCCAGCAAACUCUUGACCUCCAGAGGCUCUGCUUUGACCCAGGUGCAGUUGACAGCAGUAAUGCUAGGGCAGGGAUCUGCCUGGGAGGGAGACUUAAAGGAUGACAAUGUGGGGAGGGGUUGGUACUGGCCCUGGACCCCUCUCAGCCUUCCUAUUGCCUCUUCUCAGAUUGUUGAAGACUUGGUGGGCCAUGAUAUUGAUAUAAUCCUGAAUUGAAGAAAAUGCAUGGCUGCCACCCUGAAGAUCAUUGAAAAGAGUUCCCCCUGAUGUGAGGCCUCAUGCCCAGUGCUGUUUUUAUGGUAGAGGAUGGUACGAAUGGUGUGGAAGGAGGACUUGUUUCUGAGGCCCUAGAUAGUAACUGUCACUCUAACUCCUUCUCACAAAAAGCUGUUGUCCUUGAACUCGAUCAACAACAAACUGUACAGGCUGGAUGGCCUGUCUGACAUUAUACAGAUGGUCCCCACAGUCAAGAUCCUGAAGCUCUCCAAGAAUGAGGUGGGAAGAGGGAGCCAGAUCAAAGUUGGGGUUGACGGUGGGUGGUAGUGUUUAUCAGUGAUGACAGGAGGCAGGAGAAGGUACCUGUGUGGAAAAGUGGGGGCUGGGGGUGCAGGGGCCCACAUGUCUCUCUUUCCCUGGGACUCGUUUCCAGCUUCCUCCCCAUAUUUCUCAGCAGACGUCAGCCUGAGAGCUGGACAAAGUGAGGGAGCUGUGGCUAGAAGGGAAUCUGUGACACCUUUCCUGGGGACCUCUGCCCCUGGGAGCAUGAGCUACCUGACAGUGCCCAUCUGCAGGAGGCAGCAGCUAUGAGGAGGACCAUGUGCCCUGACUUCUCUACUCUCUCUCUCACCUGUGCUUAGAGGUCUCCUUUCCUUCCUGUGACCUGCUUACCUGUUUUCCUGGUCUGGGGUCUGUUUCUUACCCUUCUGCACGUAGCUUUCCCUAACAUACUGCUAUGUUCUGACUGUGUCCCCCACCUCACCGCAUUCAUUUGUUGAAAUCCUGACACCCAAAGACGAUAGUAUCAAGAGGUGGUUUUUUGGGAGAUGCUAAGGUCAUGAGGGUGCAACCUUCCUGAAUGGAAUGAGUACCAUUAUAUAAAAGGCUCCAGAGAGAUCCCUAACACCUUGUACCAUGUGAGGACACAGCAAAACGAUGCCAGGAAUGAACCAGGAAGAGGGCCCUCACAAGAAAGCGACCAUGCUGGUGACUUGAUCUAGACUUUCCAGCCUACAAAGUGGAUAGCAGAAAAUUACUGUGAUUUAUCAGAUACCAACUUGGUAGUAUUUUGUUAUAGCAGCCUGAACAGACUAAGACACAUGCCUUCCCAUGAGUGUGUUCCAGGAAGCGGGGCUCCAUCUCCUCUCCAGAACCAGAGUGACCACUUUGGGCCAGGUGAUGGUGCCUGGGACUGAGAAGGGCCCUCAACCCCAGGGCUUCAUGCUGAGACAGGCCUUCCUACUCCCUGCUGAGAUGGUGUUCCCUCCCUUGUUCUGAGAGGGACCCUCUUUUCCUUGAACCAAAUGUGUCCCCUCCUCCAAUUCCAGGAUGUCAUAGUGGCUUUUCCUGCCCAUGCUGAGGGCUGAGGUCUUGGGGGGCUGCCAUCAUGACAUCCGUUCCUCUGACCCAAUGCCAGGAGCUGGGCCCUCCUUGAGACAAACCAGGGUUCCCUGAGUCAGGGGGCCAGAAGUGGGAGACUGCCAGGGAGCAGAGGACUUUCUGAGGCAGGAAUGGAAGUCAGAGAGCAGAGGUGUUUGAGGAGACAGAUGGAGAGGCUUCUCAGAGGCACUGUUCCCUCCCCACCCCCACACAUGUCACAUCAUCCAAACCGGCCCUUCAGAGGAUCCAUGGGUAGCCCGACAACGAAUAUAAUCCCUCAGGCAAGGAACCGACUGAGGCAGACACAGGUGCACUGGGACCAUCAGGAGGGAAGGCGGUGAUCAUAAGGGGACCGCAGACCCUCAGCUUCAUGCUGACCUGGGACUUGACCCUCUACUCCUUCUGGGGAUGGUCGCCUGCCCCUGUGGCUGCCUCGUUCCCCAUGCCCAGCUCAGACUGAGUUCACACAGGUGACAAACCUUCAACCAGCACCCAUCCAGUGGGCCCCCAGCCCAACACCUGCAUGUUUUUCAUUCCUACCUUGGGUGCCAGGGUGUUAGGGAAACAGGCUGUGGGGUUUGAUGGUUCUCACCCUAAAUCCUUACCUUUCAAACUUGGGCCUAUUACCUAACCUCUCAUUUUCCUCAUUUGCAGAAGGGGCCCAAUAAUAUCCAUCUCUUGGGCAGCUGUGAAAAUUGAAUCAAAUGAACUUGUGGAGUGGCUGUCACAGAGUCUGCACAUAGUAACAUUCCUGUCUCUGAGAGCAGAUCGCUCCUAUUGUUGCUCUCCCAAUUCCUGACACCUCGAUUCCCAGGAACUUUUGUCCCCUUCAGCAUGAGUAUCAUGUAAGAUCCUGACUGGGGAAUGCUGUGUGAGUGUGUCAAGCAUGUGCAACUCUAAGGGGGUAUUGUUUGUUGUUGAAGUGGAAAGAAAUUCUCAGGGUUCUGUUCAUAACCUAUUUUCCCUCUCCCCCCACCAAGUGUCAUUGACAUAUAAGUGACAUUCAACCACAUUCACUUAUUGUACCUUGUAUCUGUACCUUCACCCAGACUUUCACUGCUACCCCUGUCAGCAAUUCCAAGUGAGUGCUGUGUUUUGGGUGGCACUCCCAGCCCAGCCUUGGUUCAGGGGUGUGGGAAUGUGGUUGUGUAGCCCUUGGGAUUUUAUCAAUAUUGCUGAAAGCCAUCAGGUAGAUCCAAGGAGUCUAGCCUAGUGGUAAGGGCAUGGGCUCUGGAAUCGGAAUAUGGGUUCUCUCCCAGACCCCAACACCCACUAGCUGUGCGACCUUGGUCAAGUCAUAGGACCCCUCUGUGACCCAGUGUCUUCCUCUGAAAAUGAGGAUUAUACAGUCCACUCCUUGGGCUGUUUUACAGACGAAAUGAGAGUAUAAAACCAUCUCUGAGGUACGGUUAAGCCUCCUAAUCUAGCGAAACUGGUAGAUAAUCUCUCCAAAAGUGGUCUCUGUGGCAGGGGUAGAGGUAUCAGCCAAGCAAUCUGGGGGGGGGGGUGGAGCAGGCACAGUAGGGGUAUGAAAGGAAUGUAGUUGCUGAGUGGCAGUGGAAGCAGGACGUUGUUGAGGGAGUGGGGCUGCCUAUGUGUCCAGCUGUCCCAGGGCUCAUGUUGGCCUAGUGUGUGCAUCGUGAAUGAUAACUCUGCUUGUGAGGGACGUCAGCCCUACGGAGACCCAGAACACAUUCUCUAUCCCAGUUCCCACACCUUCCUGAAGCUUCUUUUGACCACCUUCUCUCAGGAGCAGCAGGAAUGAUGCACUUUUUCACCACCCAGUCUGGGAUGAACCUCCAGUGGUCUAAGAAGUGAGUGGUCAGGCGGCAUGCAGAUAGAAGCUGGCAGGAGCCAAGAAGGGAAUAACGGGAACUUGCAGGUAAUUGUUUUGCUUGGUUAUUUCACUCAUUGUCACCCUGAACAUUCCUGUCUCCAUACACAUUAAAUUACCUAGUUGUUUUGAACAGGUUUACAAUUCUGUUGGCCUCAUUCCUUUAUUGACAGAUGUUUUGGUUUCAGGAGUUUUCCCAGUACACACUGACACAGGGCUCAUUCUACUGCAUAUGUUGCAGUAAAUGUGGAGCCAUAUUUUCCUUGCAUAGAUUGGGAAAUGGCAGCCCUAAUGGAUGACAUCUGACUUUUCUCUACCCCAGGGGACUUUGUGACAACCACUGGGACCACACUGGUUCUCACUUGGCCCAAGGCCAAGCACACGAUUCCAGAGGAGGCCCUCACCUAAGCUGAUUCAGGAUGCUGAGAACACAGCCCUGACAAGAAACUCUUGGAUGUGGUCAUCUUUGUUGUGUUUCUCCUCCGGUCUUAGUAUAACCCUGUGAAAGAGCAGGAGGUCUGCUUGGGGUUGGAAAGCCAACAGUUAACUGACACUAAUCCACCCAAAGGGCUAGUUGUUGUGCAUAUUUGUCUCACUCAGAAUUCCUGAUUCUUUUGAUAAUAAAGAAUGAUGUUGCCUGUUAUGUCAAAUCCCUGCAAAAUCCAUUUUGAGGCAGGCAUUUUUUGUACUACAGGCAAAGGUAAAGUCAGAGAGGGUCGGAGACUCCUUGAGAACAGCGGGGUAGGGUCUCAAAUCCUGGACCCCCUAAAUCCCAGGCUGUGUGUGUGCUCCCUAGUGCCACGUAGCUGUCGAGGUGGGGAAUGUUACCCUGGUAAACCUGGAGAUGGUGUUCUGUGCCCCUAGCAUAUGACUAAAAUGUUUUUAUACAGAGAACAGUAUAAUUGCUUAGCCAUACAAAUGAACUUAGAUACCUUUUGUGGGGCGGGAGGGAAAUGGCAUUAAAGAGCACAUGAAAACCUGGGAACUAAAAAUUACCCACAUACAUGGAUGACAUAGGAUAAAUGUCCUUGAUAUCGAAAGAAAUCAAUAAAGAGAUCAUAAAUUGAUAUUAACCUAGAAUUGUUAUUAAAAGCAAUAAGAGUGUCCAACCAAUCUAUGAAAAGCUAUACAAC